CACAGUGAGAAUCACAAGUGUCAAAAGAUAGGUAAAUAGAGGAAUAACAAAGGAAGGAAAGAGGGGAAAAGGAAGGGGGAGGAACACUUCCUAACUGUAUACCUCGGCACAGUGAGAAUCACAAGUGAUUCUCACUGUGCCGAGGUAUACAGUUAGGAAGUGUUCCUCCCCCUUCCUUUUCCCCUCUUUCCUUCCUUUGUUAUUCCUCUAUUUACCUAUCUUUUAACAACCUUACAGUUUGGAGCAUUUUUGACCCACUUUUUU